rnacentral:lncRNA from 1 species
CCACACGAUUUUUGAUAAAGUAUGUAAAGCAUCCUUGAGAAAAAAAAAAGAAAAAAAAAAUGACAGAAAAUAAUAAUAAAAAAAAUGGUUUGAUCAAGAUUUAGAACAACUUAAAAAAAUUGUCACAGAAAAGGGCAAUUUAAUGUCAAAAUUUCCAAAAGACCCAAUCGUACGGGGCUCUUUUUUUAAGACAAAUAAAAAAUACUCAAAACUGAGGAGAUAAAAGAAAAUAGAAUUCAAACAGCUUAUCUUAGAUCGCUUGGACAAUUUGGAAACCGAAAAC